rnacentral:rRNA from 1 species
AUUAUGGAGAGUUUGAUCCUGGCUCAGGACGAACGCUGGCGGCGUGCCUAAUACAUGCAAGUCGAGCGGAGUUGUUUAGGAGCUUGCUCCUGAAUAACUUAGCGGCGGACGGGUG